rnacentral:rRNA from 1 species
AUACGUAGGGUGCAAGCGUUAAUCGGAAUUACUGGGCGUAAAGCGUGCGCAGGCGGUUAUGUAAGACAGAGGUGAAAUCCCCGGGCUCAACCUGGGAGCUGCCUUUGUGACUGCAUGGCUAGAGUGCGGCAGAGGGGGAUGGAAUUCCGCGUGUAGCAGUGAAAUGCGUAGAUAUGCGGAGGAACACCGAUGGCGAAGGCAAUCCCCUGGGCCUGCACUGACGCUCAUGCACGAAAGCGUGGGGAGCAAACAGGAUUAGAAACCCUAGUAGUCC